rnacentral:rRNA from 1 species
AAUGAACGUUGGCGGCGUGGAUUAGGCAUGCAAGUCGAGCGCGAUAUGUAGCAAUACAUGGAGAGCGGCGAAAGGGAGAGUAAUACGUAGGUAUCUACCCUCGGGUCUGGGAUAGCAGCGAGAAACUGCUGGUAAUACCAGAUAACGUCUCCGGACAAAAGGUGUGAUUCCACCUGAGGAGGAGCCUACGGCCUAUUAGCUAGUUGGUAGGGUAACGGCCUACCAAGGCAAAGAUGGGUAUGGGGUGUGAGAGCAUGCCCCCACUCACUGGGACUGAGACACUGCCCAGACACCUACGGGUGGCUGCAGUCGAGAAUCUUCGGCAAUGGGCGAAAGCCUGACCGAGCGACGCCGCGUGCGGGAUGAAGGCCUUCGGGUUGUAACCGCUGUCGUAGUGGAGGAAAUGUAGGAGAGUUAUCUCUUCUACUUGACUAAUACUAGGAGGAAGGACCGGCUAAUCUCGUGCCAGCAGCCGCCGUAAUAC